GGAAAAGAGACCGCCUCGGAUCCAGUGCGCAGGUGCGAGAGCCAUCCUUGGUUAUAUAAGGGAGGUUUAGGCGCCCAUUCGUUCCUUUGCGUCGGGGGCGCUCGCGGUGUGGUGGUUGUGCGGCUUACAGCCAGGCUUCAUACGCUAUCGUCCUGCCCGUUAGAGCAGCCAGCGGGUAUAGAAUGGAUUUUGGAGGAGGGAGUCACCACUGGGCCUCCAAGGAAGCCACGUGCAGACAUCUACAACCUUCGAUCUCCUGACGAGUUUAUUGUUGGCCAAAACCAGGCUUUGAUUGAACCAGGAUGA
rnacentral:lncRNA from 1 species